CUUCUAAUAGCUAAUAUCCUGCAGUGACCAAAGCCAUUAGAAGGAUUAGGCCAUUACUAUCCUGUCCAGCAAACACACAAUGCCCCAGCCCAAAGCCACGUUGCAGGGCCCAGGACUGCUCUGAGACACUGCCACCCAGUGGCGUUUAAAUUCUGUCUUGAUGGGAAUUUGAACUGAAAUACUCUGCCCACUGCCACUUUAUAAGCUGGGAAUCAUCAAGCUAGCUACAAAUACCUCGAGGGGUCCUUGCAGUUGCUCAACAUAAAUCAGCAAAAUGACAGGCAAUUGACUUUGAAGACAGCGCUCACAUGGCUGAGUGGCUGGAGCUGCUGGAAGCAGAUGAGGGCAUUUUCCUGUAAACGAAUUCCUCACAUAUGUUAAGCAUUUUAUUCUUUUCAAAAUGCAUUGCUCUGUAUUAUUUCGCUAAAUUGGAUAA
rnacentral:lncRNA from 1 species